UACAGAGGGUGCAAGCGUUGUUCGGAAUUACUGGGCGUAAAGCGUGCGCAGGCGGUUAUGCAAGACAGAUGUGAAAUCCCCGGGCUCAACCUGGGAACUGCAUUUGUGACUGCAUGGCUAGAGUACGGUAGAGGGGGAUGGAAUUCCGCGUGUAGCAGUGAAAUGCGUAGAUAUGCGGAGGAACACCGAUGGCGAAGGCAAUCCCCUGGACCUGUACUGACGCUCAUGCACGAAAGCGUGGGGAGCAAACAGG
rnacentral:rRNA from 1 species